ACGCUCGACACCUACGUGAGGCAGCAGUUGGGAAUAUUGGACAAUGGAGGAAACUCUGAUCCAGUGACGCCGCGUGAAGGAAGAAGGUCUUCGGAUUGUAAACUUAUUUUGUCAGGGAAGAAAAAUGACUGUACCUGAAGAAAAAGCACCGGCUAACUACGUGCCAGNCGCGGUAGUACUGAGCGGGCGUGCGAGACGC
rnacentral:rRNA from 1 species